rnacentral:rRNA from 1 species
GAUCGAUCUUGCAUAGGACUCGGUCUAUUUUGUUGGUUUUCGGAAUCUGAGGUAAUGAUCAAUGGGGACAGGCGGGGGCAUUCGUAUUGCGACGUUAGAGGUGAAAUUCUUGGAUCGUCGCAAGACGGACCGAAGCGAAAGCAUUUGCCAAGUAUGUUCUCGUCGAUCAAGAACGAAAGUUAGAGGUUCGAAGGCGAUCAGAUACCGCCCUAGUUCUAACCAUAAACUAUGCCUGCCAGCGAUCCGCCGAAGUUCCUCCGAUGACUCGGCGGGCAGCUUCCGGGAAACCAGAGCUUUUGGGUUCCGGGGGAAGUAUGGUUGCAAAGCUGAAACUUAAAGGAAUUGACGGAAGGGCACCACCAGGAGUGGAGCCUGCGGCUUAAUUUGACUCAACACGGGAAAACUCACCAGGCCCGGACACCGGAAGGAUUGACAGAUUGAGAGCUCUUUCUUGAUUCGGUGGGUGGUGGUGCAUGGCCGUUCUUAGUUGGUGGAGCGAUUUGUCUGGUUAAUUCCGAUAACGAACGAGACUCUAGCCUACUAACUAGGCGUACCCGGUAUCCACAAUCGUGCUACCGGCGAUCAAAUUUCUUCUUAGAGGGGAGAGGGGGGCUUCUAUCCGCACGAGACUGAGCAAUAACAGGUCUGUGAUGCCCUUAUAUGUCCUGGGCCGCACGCGCGCUACACUGAAGGAAUCAGCGUGUCUUCUCUGUCCGAGGGACCGGGUAAUCCGCUGAACCUCCCUUUGUGGUGGGGGUGGGGGGGUUGCAGUUGUUCCCCAUGAACGAGGAAAUUCCCAGUAGGCGCGAAGUCAUAGGCUCGCGUUGAUUGACGUGCCGUGCGCGUUAGGAGGG